GACGAACGCUGGCGGCGUGCUUAACACAUGCAAGUCGAACGGGUCUGCCCGGUUGUUUGCGGGGGGGGUCAGUGGCGAACGGGUGAGUAACACGUGAGGAACCUGCCCCUCACUGCUGGAUAACCGCAUGAAAGGGUGGGUAAUACGGGGGGUUGUGGCAGUGGCGAAUGGUGGGGCUGGGAAAGAUUAACUGUUGGGGGGGGUUGGGGGGGGAGGGGCUGGCGGCCAAUCAGCGUGUUGGGGGGGUGAUGGCCUGCCAAGGCUUUGACGGGUAGCCGGCCUGCGAGCGUGCGCUGUCACCCUGGGACUGAGAUCCGGCCCCGCCUCCUGCGGGACGCAGCCGUGGCGGCUAUUGCACCCUGGGCGGAAGCCUGAUGCAGCGACGUCGCGUGACUGAUCCAGCCCUUCCGGUUGUGAACCUCUUUCGCCGGUGUUGAAGGUCCUGCUCUUUGUGGUCGGGUUGACGGUAGCCGGGUUAUGAAGCGCCGGCUAACUUCGUG
rnacentral:rRNA from 1 species